rnacentral:ncRNA from 2 species
UACAGAGGUCCCAAGCGUUGUUCGGAUUCACUGGGCGUAAAGGGUGCGUAGGCGGUCGGGUAAGUCUGAUGUGAAAUCCCGCAGCUCAACUGCGGAACGGCAUUGGAUACUAUUCGGCUCGAGGAGUGGAGGGGAGACUGGAAUUCUCGGUGUAGCAGUGAAAUGCGUAGAUAUCGAGAGGAACACCUGUGGCGAAGGCGAGUCUCUGGACACUUCCUGACGCUGAGGCACGAAAGCCAGGGGAGCAAACGGG